GUUUAGUAGAAAACGAGAGCAAGUUAGUAUUCUCCUAGACAAGGAUGAAAUUCUCUCUAGCGAUCUUCACUACUUACUGCUGGCGGCAACAACACAGUAAUGCCAGGAUUUUCU
rfam:Glossina palpalis gambiensis isolate 146720 unplaced genomic scaffold Scaffold435, whole genome shotgun sequence.